rnacentral:lncRNA from 1 species
UUCUUGUAGGCAGCGUUUCCUUGCUCUUUCUCCUUCUUCGCCUCCUCCUUCCUCUCUUUCUUCUCCCUCUCCUCCUCCGUCAACUCCAUAGGCUCAGGCUCCGGCUCAGGCUCCGGUUCAACCUUCUUCGCCGGCUCAGCCUCAUUCAUCUCCGUGUCUUCUCCCUUAGACCCGGCAAACUUAACAUUCAACAAAACACCCAACGCCUGCAUCACUCUCUUAUCCUUCAUGUACAAAUUAAGAUUGUUAGGGUUCUUCUGAAU